UACGUAGGGUGCAAGCGUUGUCCGGAAUUAUUGGGCGUAAAGAGCUCGUAGGCGGUUUGUCGCGUCUGCUGUGAAAACCCGAGGCUCAACCUCGGGCCUGCAGUGGGUACGGGCAGACUAGAGUGCGGUAGGGGAGAUUGGAAUCCUGGUGUAGCGGUGGAAUGCGCAGAUAUCAGGAGGAACACCGAUGGCGAAGGCAGAUCUCUGGGCCGUAACUGACGCUGAGGAGCGAAAAGCAUGGGGAGCGAACAGG
rnacentral:rRNA from 1 species